rnacentral:rRNA from 1 species
AAAGGAAUAGACGGGGACCCACACAAGCAGUGGAUCACGUGGUUUAAUUCGACAAUAAACGGGGAACCUUACCCAGACUUGACAUCUACCGAAUUUCCUAGAGAUAGGAGAGUGCCUUUAUUGGAGCGGUAAGACAGGUGCUGCAUGGUUGUCGUCAGCUCGUGCCUUGAGGUGUUCGGUUAAGUCCGUUAACGAGCGCAACCCAUGUCUUUAGUUAUUAUGUCUAAAGAGACUGCCUUGGUUAACAAGGAGGAAGGUGUGGAUGACGUCAAAUCAGCAUGGCUUUUACGUCUGGGGCUACACACAUGAUACAAUGGUAUGUACAAAGAGCAGCAAUACAGUAAUGUGGAGCCAAUCUUCAAAGCAUAUCUCAGUCCGGAUUGAGGGCUGCAACUCGCCCUCAUGAAGUUGGAAUUGCUAGUAAUCGUAAAUCAGACAUGUUACGGUGAAUAUGUUCCUGGGUCUUGUACACACCGCCCGU